GGAUUGUAGCUCAGUGGUAGAGCGCUUGCCUCGUACAGAUGAGGCACUGUGUUUGAUCCUCAGCACCA
rnacentral:tRNA from 1 species